GACGAACCGUGCGAACGUUAUUCGGAAUCACCGGGCUUAAAGCGCGUGUAGGCGGAUGGGGACGUCGGUCGCUGAAAUCCCCCGGCUCAACCGGGGAACGGGCGCCGAAACGCCCCGUCUCGAGGGACGUAGGGGGACCUGGAACUUCCGGUGGAGCGGUGAAAUGCGUUGAGAUCGGAAGGAACGCCCGUGGCGAAAGCGAGGUCCUGGACGUCUACUGACGCUGAGACGCGAAAGCUAGGGGAGCGAACGGG
rnacentral:rRNA from 1 species